rnacentral:rRNA from 1 species
UACGUAGGGGGCAAGCGUUAUCCGGAUUUACUGGGUGUAAAGGGAGCGCAGACGGCAGUGCAAGUCUGGAGUGAAAGCCCGGGGCCCAACCCCGGGACUGCUCUGGAAACUGUACGGCUAGAGUACGGGAGGGGCAGGCGGAAUUCCUAGUGUAGCGGUGAAAUGCGUAGAUAUCAGGAGGAACACCGGCGGCGAAGGCGGCCUGCUGGACCGCGACUGACGUUGAGGCUCGAAAGCGUGGGGAGCGAACAGG